AAGGGAGUGGCAGAUUGGCUAUGUGGUUAACUUGAAAUUAAAGUAAGGGGGUUCAAUUC
rnacentral:tRNA from 1 species